rnacentral:lncRNA from 1 species
GUGUAGGAUAGAGAGAGAAAGCCUGUGUGAGUACUGUAUGAGAGCAGGAGAGCGUAUAUCAUGGAGCAUGCGCAAUUCUCUAUGACCGCAUGUGUGUGUGAGAGAGACGGAGAGAGAGAGAGAGAGAGAAAGAGAGCAAGAUAGGGAACGCACCGUUCUGUUGCACCACUCCUAGAGUGCCUGGAGAUGCUCUCACACUGUCUGUCUCCUGUUCCAGCUCAGGGCUUCUGCAGGGACACACAUGCACGCAUGAGCACAGAGCCACACACAAACACACACCACAGACGUGUCGUCACUGCCACUCCUGGCAGCCGGUGAUAUAAGGGAGUGGGAGCUCUAAGGAGGAGAAAGAGAGGUGGAAACGGCUACCGUUAAGCUGAAGCAGGAGGCCCAGCCGUUGCACCUGGCCUAUCACGGAGCCCACCAUGUGAGUCGCUGCCGCCUCCUAGAGGACAAGAACAGAGCUCUUAAACAAGAGCUAGCCACACUUAAACAGCAGAAACAGCAGCACCGAUCCCUGGAGUCAGAUGUCAAUGUUUGCAGGAAAAGGUGUCAGAUCCUUGAGAGAGAAGUGAAAAACAAGACAUUAGAAUGUAAGACUUUGAAGAAUGAGCUUCAGGAUGCUUUGCUGGAGAGAAAACGGCUCAAUCGUGAGCUACUUAGUCACGUACUGAAGGCCACACAGUAUGAUAAGGUAAGAGAUGGUCAGCAUCACACGCCAGCUGAGCUCAUCAG